UUCAUUACAGGAUGUGUACCAAUAACUACAUAAUGAGAAGUUGAAAAUGAGUCCUGUAUAUACUAAUAUGAACAGGAGACAGGAAAAUACUGAUUAGAAGAGGGCAGUUCCCCAGCAAAGGUGGAAUGAUGUGGUAGAGAAAGAGAGGAGGGAUGUCUGGACACUGGGCCGGCGACAGUCAGGAGCAGAGACCGGCAGCUACGUGGCCCAACUCCAGGGGAAGACCACCUUCCCACUCCAUCCCCCUCUUCCUGCUCCCCAUCCAUCUCGCUGAGAGCCCACCUCCACCACUCAAUAAAACCUGGCACUCAUCCUUUGCACCCACGUGUGAUCUGAUUCUUCUGGGACACUGGGCAAGAGCUCAGGAUACAGAAAGCUGUCACAUGGCCCUCUGCCCUUGUGAAAAAGCAGAGGGUCCAUUGAGCUGAUUAACAUACAAGGUGUCUGAAAAUGGGAAAGCUGAAACAGCUUGGUAACACUGGGGUUGCAGGUAUCCACCCCAAACUAAGUAACACCUAAACCAA
rnacentral:lncRNA from 1 species